rnacentral:rRNA from 1 species
CGUUAUCCGGAUUCAUUGGGUUUAAAGGGUGCGCAGGCGGAUUGGUAAGUCAGGGGUGAAAUCCCACAGCUCAACUGUGGAACUGCCUUUGAUACUGUCAGUCUAGAGUAUAGUUGAAGUUGGCGGAAUGUGUCAUGUAGCGGUGAAAUGCUUAGAUAUGACACAGAACACCGAUCGCGAAGGCAGCUAGCUAAGCUAUAACUGACGCUCAUGCACGAAAGCGUGGGGAUCAAACAGGAUUAGAUACCCUGGUAGUCCACGCUGUAAACGAUGAUUACUCGAUGUUGGCGAUACACAGUCAGCGUCUGAGCGAAAGCAAUAAGUAAUCCACCUGGGGAGUACGAUCGCAAGAUUGAAACUCAAAGGAAUUGACGGGGGCCCGCACAAGCGGAGGAGCAUGUGGUUUAAUUCGAUGAUACGCGAGGAACCUUACCUGGGCUCGAACGUAAGAUGACUGUAGGUGAAAGCUUACAUCUCUUCGGAGCAUUUUACGAGGUGCUGCAUGGUUGUCGUCAGCUCGUGCCGUGAGGUGUCGGGUUAAGUCCCAUAACGAGCGCAACCCCUACCUUUAGUUGCCAUCAGGUCAUGCUGGGGACUCUAAAGGAACUGCCUACGCAA